rnacentral:rRNA from 1 species
CUACGGGAGGCAGCAGUCGAGGAUCUUCGGCAAUGGGCGCAAGCCUGACCGAGCGACGCCGCGUGUGCGAUGAAGGCCUUCGGGUUGUAAAGCACUGUCGGGGGGGAGAAAAGCCGCAAGGCUUGAUCGACCCCCGGAGGAAGCACGGGCUAAGUUCGUGCCAGCAGCCGCGGUAAGACGAACCGUGCGAACGUUGUUCGGAAUCACUGGGCUUAAAGGGCGCGUAGGCGGGCCGGCAAGUCAGGGGUGAAAGCCCGCAGCUCAACUGCGGAAGGGCCUUUGAUACUGCCGGUCUGGAGGGAGGUAGGGGCGUGCGGAACUUCCGGUGGAGCGGUGAAAUGCGUAGAUAUCGGAAGGAACACCGGUGGCGAAAGCGGCGCGCUGGACCUCUUCUGACGCUGAGGCGCGAAAGCCAGGGGAGCAAACGGGAUUAGAUACCCCUGUAGUCC